UUUAAAUCCGCAUUCAUUAAAAAAAAUGUAAAUAGUCAAGAGAGAAACUUCCGUGUCAUAAAUGGGUGACUCUUCAAUCAUCAUAAAUAAUACAAAUCUAUAUUUGGAUGUGCUCAGGUAUAACUGGGCCCAUGAUAAGGAAGCAUAUUCUCUGUUUGUAUUAUUUUGUUAUAAAUUCAUUAUAUAUUAUUACUAGGCACAAAUUAAUAGCAAGG